rnacentral:rRNA from 1 species
UCGAGGGGUAACGGGGAGUGCUUGCACUCUGCCGACGACCGGCGCACGGGUGCGCACCGCGUAUGGAACCUACCUUUUACAGGGGGAUAGCCCAGGGAAACUUGGAUUAAUACCCCGUAGACUUAGUUGCGGCAUUGCAAUUAAGUUAAAGGUUUCGACCGGCAAGAGAUGAUCAUGCGUCCCAUUAGCUUGAUGGUAAGGUAACGGCUUACCAUGGCUACGAUGGGUAGGGGCCCUGAGAGGGGGAUCCCCCACACUGGUACUGAGACACGGACCAGACUCCUACGGGAGGCAGCAGUGAGGAAUAUUGGACAAUGGGCGAGAGCCUGAUCCAGCCAUGCCGCGUGCAGGAAGACGGCCCUAUGGGUUGUAAACUGCUUUUAUACAGGAAGAAAAAGGGGUACGUGUACCCUACUGACGGUACUGUAAGAAUAAGGACCGGCUAACUCCGUGCCAGCAGCCGCGGUAAUACGGAGGGUCCGAGCGUUAUCCGGAAUUAUUGGGUUUAAAGGGUCCGUAGGCGGGCCAUUAAGUCAGUGGUGAAAGUUUGCAGCUCAACUGUAAAAUUGCCUUUGAUACUGAUGGUCUUGAGUUAUGGUGAAGUUGCCGGAAUAUGUAGUGUAGCGGUGAAAUGCAUAGAUAUUACAUAGAACACCGAUUGCGAAGGCAGGUGACUAACCAUAUACUGACGCUGAUGGACGAAAGCGUGGGGAGCGAACAGGAUUAGAUACCCUGGUAGUCCACGCCGUAAACGAUGGAUACUAGCUGUCCGCUGCCUUGAGCAGUGGGCGGCCAAGCGAAAGUGAUAAGUAUCCCACCUGGGGAGUACGUUCGCAAGAAUGAAACUCAAAGGAAUUGACGGGGGCCCGCACAAGCGGUGGAGCAUGUGGUUUAAUUCGAUGAUACGCGAGGAACCUUACCAGGGCUUAAAUGUAGAUUGACAGGGCUAGAGAUAGCUUUUCCUUCGGGCAAUUUACAAGGUGCUGCAUGGUUGUCGUCAGCUCGUGCCGUGAGGUGUCAGGUUAAGUCCUAUAACGAGCGCAACCCCUGCCGUUAGUUGCCAGCAUGUAAAGAUGGGGACUCUAACGGGACUGCCGGUGCAAACCGUGAGGAAGGUGGGGAUGACGUCAAAUCAUCACGGCCCUUACGUCCUGGGCCACACACGUGCUACAAUGGCCGGUACAGAGAGCAGCCAUGUUGCAAGACAGAGCGAAUCUAUAAAACCGGUCACAGUUCGGAUCGGGGUCUGCAACUCGACCCCGUGAAGCUGGAAUCGCUAGUAAUCGGAUAUCAGCCAUGAUCCGGUGAAUACGUUCCCGGGCCUUGUACACACC